rnacentral:rRNA from 1 species
UACGAAGGGGGCUAGCGUUGUUCGGAUUUACUGGGCGUAAAGCGCACGUAGGCGGAUCGAUCAGUCAGGGGUGAAAUCCCAGAGCUCAACUCUGGAACUGCCUUUGAUACUGUCGAUCUGGAGUAUGGAAGAGGUAAGUGGAAUUCCGAGUGUAGAGGUGAAAUUCGUAGAUAUUCGGAGGAACACCAGUGGCGAAGGCGGCUUACUGGGCCACUACUGACGCUGAGGAGCGAAAGCGUGGGGAGCGAACAGG